rnacentral:rRNA from 1 species
AUUGCACGCUGGCGGCAGGCUUAACACAUGCAAGUCGAGCGCGCGGCGGACGGGUGCGUAAUGUCUGGGAAACUGCCUGAUGGAGGGGGAUAACUACUGGAAACUGUAGCUAAUACCGCAUACCAUACGAUGUGCCCAGAUGGGAUUAGCUAGUAGGUGGGGUAAUGGCUAACCUAGGAGACGAUCCCUAGCUGGGCUGAGAGGAUGAACCGCCACACGGGAACUGAGACCCGUUCCAGACUCCUACGUGAGGCAGCAGUAGGGAAUAUUGCUCAAUGGGCGCAAGCCUGAUGCAGCCAUGCCGCGUGUGUGAAGAAGGCCUUCGGGUUGUAAAGCACUUUCAGCGAGGAGGCGUUACUCGCAGAAGAAGCACCGGCUAACUCCGUGCCAGCAGCCGCGGUAAUAC